rnacentral:rRNA from 1 species
UACAGAGGUCUCAAGCGUUGUUCGGAUUCAUUGGGCGUAAAGGGUGCGUAGGCGGCGCGGUAAGUCGGGUGUGAAAUCUCGGGGCUUAACUCCGAAACUGCAUUCGAUACUGCUGUGCUUGAGGACUGGAGAGGAGACUGGAAUUUACGGUGUAGCGGUGAAAUGCGUAGAUAUCGUAAGGAAGACCAGUGGCGAAGGCGGGUCUCUGGACUGCAACUGACACUGAGAAACGAAAGCCAGGGUAGCAAACGGG